rnacentral:lncRNA from 1 species
UCCAAAUAAAGCUGCCCCUGCUGUGUGUACGCACUGGACAGCAUAUGUGCUGCCACAAACCAGUGGGACAUUAAGGAGUGGGGGAAUUGCUGCAAAAUUUGAAAGAAGGGACCAACACUUGCAGAUAACAGGAGGACCUACCAGUAAUCCCUCAUACAGUUCAGUGAUUUUUAGCCACCGUAUAUAGAAAGGCUAAUGCUCAGUAAGCAGCCUGCAGUAUGGUAGGGCAGGGAGUUCCACAGUUUUACUCUGCACUGUUGUGUUAAGAAGUCAUUUAUUUUGCUUAUUUUCAGUUCUACUGCCUGAUAAUUACACUGAGCUCCCUCCUUCAAGAACAAAGUAGAGCUCCUGGGAGAAAUAGUCAUUUCCUAUUUAGAUUUUCCACAUCAUAACUGAAUUUGUUGCUCCCAGUGAUUAUUACUUCUUUGAGUUCUGUUGAACCUCUUCUGCCUGUUCCAAAAGCCUGGAUAUUCAGGGUAUAAAGAAGAAGAAAGGAAGAGAAAGAGGCUGGACAGUGCUGGUCCUUACUGUAAUGUGCAAAUUCAGGAUUGAUCACUUACAUAUGCUUAGUGUUUCUGGGUAACUGGCACUUGAAAUCUGGACCAUAAGCCAAGUGCUGUGAAGAGGUCUGGACCUUAGACUGAUGGAAGGCAGAAUCUGUGUCCUGAUACAGAAGCCACUGUAGAAGAGUCAUUUCAGGAUGGGAAUAAGAUGAGGUAUUUUGUUGGUGUUGAUUUUUCAUCUCUCCUGGAAUAAAGAGAUAAUAAAAGUUCAUUCCUUGUGCUGAAUAACAACUCUCAGGAACUUCUGCCAAACAAAACUUUCCUCUUGUAAAAUCUUUAAGUGAUUAUAUUGAAAACAGAUGAUAGAAAAGGUAGAGAGUGUGAUUCGUAAACAGAUUCCUUAGCUGUGUGUCAUAAUUUCCAACAACGGUCAGUGUAAGGCAGCAAAGUUGUUU